AGUGAACGCUGGCGGUAGGCCUAACACAUGCAAGUCGAACGGCAGCACAGGAGAGCUUGCUCUCUGGGUGGCGAGUGGCGGACGGGUGAGGAAUACAUCGGUAUCUACUCUGUCGUGGGGGAUAACGUAGGGAAACUUACGCUAAUACCGCAUACGACCUACGGGUGAAAGCAGGGGACCUUCGGGCCUUGCGCGAUUGAAUGAGCCGAUGUCGGAUUAGCUAGUGGGCGGGGUAAAGGCCAACCAAGGCGACGAUCCGUAGCUGGUCUGAGGGGAUGAGCAGCCACACUGGAACUGCGACACGGUGCAGACUCCUACGGGAGGCAGCAGUGGGGAAUUUUGGACAAUGGGCGCAAGCCUGAUCCAGCCAUUCCGCGUGGGUGAAGAAGGCCUUCGGGUUGUAAAGCCCUUUUGUAGGGAAAGAAAUCCAGCUGGCUAAUACCCGGUUGGGAUGACGGUACCCAAAGAAUAAGCACCGGCUAACUUCGUGCCAGCCGCCGCGGUAA
rnacentral:rRNA from 1 species